rnacentral:rRNA from 1 species
AUUGAACGCUGGCGGCAUGCCUUACACAUGCAAGUCGAACGGUAACAGGUCUUCGGACGCUGACGAGUGGCGGACGGGCGAGUAAUGCAUCGGAACGUGCCCAGUCGUGGGGGAUAACUGCUCGAAAGAGCAGCUAAUACCGCAUACGACCUGAGGGCGAAAGCGGGGGACCGUAAGGCAUCGCGCGAUUGGAGCGGCCGAUGUCAGAUUAGCUAGUUGGUGGGGUAAAGGCCUACCAAGGCAACGAUUUGUAGUUGGUCUGAGAGGACGACCGGCGACACUGGGACGGAGACACGGCCAAGGCGACUGCGGGAGGCAGCAGUGGGGUAUUUUGGACAGUGGGCGCAAGCCUGAUCCAGCAAUGCCGCGUGCAGGGAGAAGGCCUUCGGGUUGUAAACUGCUUUUGUCAGGGAAGAAAUCUUCUGGGCUAAGACCCCGGGAGGAUGACGGUACCUGAAGAAUAAGCACCGGCUAACUACGUG